rnacentral:rRNA from 1 species
GACGUAGGGGGCGAGCGUUGUCCGGAAUUACUGGGCGUAAAGCGCGCGCAGGUGGUCUUUCAAGUCAGUGGUGAAAGCCCGGAGCUCAACUCCGGAAAUGCCAUUGAAACUGUGAGACUUGAGGACGAGAGAGGUGAGUGGAAUUCCCAGUGUAGAGGUGAAAUUCGUAGAUAUUGGGAAGAACACCGAUGGCGAAGGCAGCCCCCUGGGCUUAAAUUGACGCUGAGGCACGAAAGCGUGGGGAGCAAACAGG